rnacentral:rRNA from 1 species
GACGAACGCUGGCGGCGUGCUUAACACAUGCAAGUCGAACGAUGAAGCGGUGCUUGCACCGUGGAUUAGUGGCGAACGGGUGAGUAAUACGUGAGUGACCUACCUUUGACUCUGGGAUAAGCCUGGGAAACUGGGUCUAAUACCUGAUACGACCAAUCUCUGCAUGGGGUGUUGGUGGAAAGCGUUAUGGAGUGGUUUUAGAUGGGCUCACGGCCUAUCAGCUUGUUGGUGAGGUAAUGGCUUACCAAGGCGACGACGGGUAGGCGGCCUGAGAGGGUGACCGGCCACACGGGGACUGAGAGACGGCCCAGACUCCUACGGGAGGCAGCAGUGGGGAAUAUUGCACAAUGGGCGCAAGCCUGAUGCAGCGACGCCGCGUGAGGGAUGACGGCCUUCGGGUUGUAAACCUCUGUUAGCAUCGAAGAAGCGAAAGUGACGGUAGGUGCAGAGAAAGCGCCGGCUAACUACGUG